rnacentral:rRNA from 1 species
GGUUAAGCGACUAAGCGUACACGGUGGAUGCCCUGGCAGUCAGAGGCGAUGAAGGACGUGCUAAUCUGCGAUAAGCGUCGGUAAGGUGAUAUGAACCGUUAUAACCGGCGAUUUCCGAAUGGGGAAACCCAGUGUGAUUCGUCACACUAUCAUUAACUGAAUCCAUAGGUUAAUGAGGCGAACCGGGGGAACUGAAACAUCUAAGUACCCCGAGGAAAAGAAAUCAACCGAGAUUCCCCCAGUAGCGGCGAGCGAACGGGGAGCAGCCCAGAGCCUGAAUCAGUGUGUGUGUUAGUGGAAGCGUCUGGAAAGGCGCGCGAUACAGGGUGACAGCCCCGUACACAAAAAUGCACAUACUGUGAGCUCGAUGAGUAGGGCGGGACACGUGGUAUCCUGUCUGAAUAUGGGGGGACCAUCCUCCAAGGCUAAAUACUCCUGACUGACCGAUAGUGAACCAGUACCGUGAGGGAAAGGCGAAAAGAACCCCGGCGAGGGGAGUGAAAAAGAACCUGAAACCGUGUGUACAAGCAGUGGGAGCACAGAGCAAUCUGUGUGACUGCGUACCUUUUGUAUAAUGGGUCAGCGACUUAUAUUCUGUAGCAAGGUUAACCGAAUAGGGGAGCCGAAGGGAAACCGAGUCUUAACUGGGCGUUAAGUUGCAGGGUAUAGACCCGAAACCCGGUGAUCUAGCCAUGGGCAGGUUGAAGGUUGGGUAACACUAACUGGAGGACCGAACCGACUAAUGUUGAAAAAUUAGCGGAUGACUUGUGGCUGGGGGUGAAAGGCCAAUCAAACCGGGAGAUAGCUGGUUCUCCCCGAAAGCUAUUUAGGUAGCGCCUCGUGAAUUCAUCUCCGGGGGUAGAGCACUGUUUCGGCAAGGGGGUCAUCCCGACUUACCAACCCGAUGCAAACUGCGAAUACCGGAGAAUGUUAUCACGGGAGACACACGGCGGGUGCUAACGUCCGUCGUGAAGAGGGAAACAACCCAGACCGCCAGCUAAGGUCCCAAAGUCAUGGUUAAGUGGGAAACGAUGUGGGAAGGCCCAGACAGCCAGGAUGUUGGCUUAGAAGCAGCCAUCAUUUAAAGAAAGCGUAAUAGCUCACUGGUCGAGUCGGCCUGCGCGGAAGAUGUAACGGGGCUAAACCAUGCACCGAAGCUGCGGCAGCGACGCUUAUGCGUUGUUGGGUAGGGGAGCGUUCUGUAAGCCUGCGAAGGUGUGCUGUGAGGCAUGCUGGAGGUAUCAGAAGUGCGAAUGCUGACAUAAGUAACGAUAAAGCGGGUGAAAAGCCCGCUCGCCGGAAGACCAAGGGUUCCUGUCCAACGUUAAUCGGGGCAGGGUGAGUCGACCCCUAAGGCGAGGCCGAAAGGCGUAGUCGAUGGGAAACAGGUUAAUAUUCCUGUACUUGGUGUUACUGCGAAGGGGGGACGGAGAAGGCUAUGUUGGCCGGGCGACGGUUGUCCCGGUUUAAGCGUGUAGGCUGGUUUUCCAGGCAAAUCCGGAAAAUCAAGGCUGAGGCGUGAUGACGAGGCACUACGGUGCUGAAGCAACAAAUGCCCUGCUUCCAGGAAAAGCCUCUAAGCAUCAGGUAACAUCAAAUCGUACCCCAAACCGACACAGGUGGUCAGGUAGAGAAUACCAAGGCGCUUGAGAGAACUCGGGUGAAGGAACUAGGCAAAAUGGUGCCGUAACUUCGGGAGAAGGCACGCUGAUAUGUAGGUGAAGUCCCUCGCGGAUGGAGCUGAAAUCAGUCGAAGAUACCAGCUGGCUGCAACUGUUUAUUAAAAACACAGCACUGUGCAAACACGAAAGUGGACGUAUACGGUGUGACGCCUGCCCGGUGCCGGAAGGUUAAUUGAUGGGGUCAGCGCAAGCGAAGCUCUUGAUCGAAGCCCCGGUAAACGGCGGCCGUAACUAUAACGGUCCUAAGGUAGCGAAAUUCCUUGUCGGGUAAGUUCCGACCUGCACGAAUGGCGUAAUGAUGGCCAGGCUGUCUCCACCCGAGACUCAGUGAAAUUGAACUCGCUGUGAAGAUGCAGUGUACCCGCGGCAAGACGGAAAGACCCCGUGAACCUUUACUAUAGCUUGACACUGAACAUUGAGCCUUGAUGUGUAGGAUAGGUGGGAGGCUUUGAAGUGUGGACGCCAGUCUGCAUGGAGCCGACCUUGAAAUACCACCCUUUAAUGUUUGAUGUUCUAACGUUGACCCGUGAUCCGGGUUGCGGACAGUGUCUGGUGGGUAGUUUGACUGGGGCGGUCUCCUCCUAAAGAGUAACGGAGGAGCACGAAGGUUGGCUAAUCCUGGUCGGACAUCAGGAGGUUAGUGCAAUGGCAUAAGCCAGCUUGACUGCGAGCGUGACGGCGCGAGCAGGUGCGAAAGCAGGUCAUAGUGAUCCGGUGGUUCUGAAUGGAAGGGCCAUCGCUCAACGGAUAAAAGGUACUCCGGGGAUAACAGGCUGAUACCGCCCAAGAGUUCAUAUCGACGGCGGUGUUUGGCACCUCGAUGUCGGCUCAUCACAUCCUGGGGCUGAAGUAGGUCCCAAGGGUAUGGCUGUUCGCCAUUUAAAGUGGUACGCGAGCUGGGUUUAGAACGUCGUGAGACAGUUCGGUCCCUAUCUGCCGUGGGCGCUGGAGAACUGAGGGGGGCUGCUCCUAGUACGAGAGGACCGGAGUGGACGCAUCACUGGUGUUCGGGUUGUCAUGCCAAUGGCACUGCCCGGUAGCUAAAUGCGGAAGAGAUAAGUGCUGAAAGCAUCUAAGCACGAAACUUGCCCCGAGAUGAGUUCUCCCUGACUCCUUGAGAGUCCUGAAGGAACGUUGAAGACGACGACGUUGAUAGGCCGGGUGUGUAAGCGCAGCGAUGCGUUGAGCUAACCGGUACUAAUGAACCGUGGGGCUUAACCUU